CCUUCAGUUUGUCCCUUUCAGGACUGUCUUUGGAGACAUUUAGAAGGAGGAUACCCAAGAAGAGGGAGCAGUCUUUCUGUGAAGAAUAGACUUGGCAGCUGAAGAGUUGUCGCAGACUUUCAGGGGAUCACCAAAUCUGUGCAAGUCCUUCAGAUGAACAACCCCCCCCUCUGAAAUGCUUAAUCCAGAGUGCCUUUUGUAGAUCUAUGUUCCUUAGAUGCAGACAUACAAAAUACUUUGUACUUUUAUGGCACCUUCCAUUGAAGAAAGAGCCUUUUAGAAGAGCUGGAAGAGAAGGAAUUAUCAGCAAUAUACAAGGCUGAGCAACUUCAAAGAGACAGCCUGAUUUGCCUGGGGAUGCACAAAAAUCAGCAAAAGAAAGAGUUGCAUCACCAGAAAGAGACUAGAAGGCUGCACUGACAACUGAGAAAAUAAAGGAGAAGUGACCUCAGCUGCCACUGCACAGUCUCAACAGCCUGGCACUGUUUGGCAAAUGCUUGAUACAUCAAGAAAACUUCAGAGGAGUUACUAUUGCCUCACACCAAUGGCUACACAAGAGGUCACAUUCUCUUUUUAUUGUCCUUGCUGGAGCAUGGGAAAGAGGUGACAUGCAUUUUAACUUACAUGUUUGCACAGGCAAGUUCAGAGAAAACUAAUUCUAAAGGAAAAAUUAUCUAUUCUAUCACCAGUUCUGGUGAAGGAAAUGUAGAAUUAAAAUUAUCUUUGGGAUUGCUGAGUCCAGUCUUCUGCUCUGUAGUGAGCCAAGUUUCCAAUCUUUUUCAUAAACAGCUUGGUGCUAUUCAAAAAUAUUCUCUUUCCUCCUUGUUCUCUCUCCUAUUCUCCCAGUUUCCCACUUUGUUUGUUCCAGAAUUUCCCUCUUUUGAUGGGAUAAAAUCCUUUUAAUUUCCAUGGUCAGUUUAGGCAUGUUUCUCUUGUUCUGUGAAAAUCCUAAAAAAUUAAUUACUGCAGGUAGCCAUGUCUGUAUAGGGAAUAAGGGAGGAAAACCCUUAGAAGAGGACAGAAAAUCUUCACUUGGGUAAAUCCUUAAGACUCAAGUCUGUUGGAAACUAGGCUUUAACAGCACUUAGCAUAAAGUGUUUGUGUAUCUGAUACUACCAGGUUUUUCUGGGACUAGCAAAUGAAUUAUUUAGUAAUGGAAACUGCAUGUGCAUGUGUUUGGCUUCUGUAGGUUCAUGUGAUAGAAAACUGUAAGAGUGUCUGUAGGGAUCACAACUGCACAACUUUGUGUCUUUAACCCUAUGUCUUAACAGGGCUCAGAAAUUCCCAUUUAGUUGGGUACAGGAGAGAGAACAGAGUGGCAAGUCUCAGCUUUUAUUGCUAACGCUUUAAUGCAAAAUAACAUUUAUGGUCUGUAGAUUUGGUUCUGUGCAGGUCUGUGUGACUUAAAAUUUAUUACACCACUUCAUAUCCGUGCAUCUCUCUCCUGCUCCUGGAUAUAAAAGAAAUUAAAGGUCCAAAAGGUUACCUUUAUGUUAAUAGAUCCAGAUAUACCCAAUAUUUAACUUCCCUGGACAAAGGAAUUGCAUCAAGGGCUGGCUUGUCCUGUUAGCAUGUGACAGUGUCAGCCCUGCGUGCUGCACAGCUUCAUGGAGCCUUGGAGAAUAAAAAAGAAAAAAGCCAAGUGUAUGCUCAAUGGAAAACAGAUGGAGUUUUCAUUAGAUAUUACUUUUAAUGAUCUGCUUUAAAAGUAAAGAUACACCAUUCUGAGCAGAAGGGCCUCAUAAUAGCUGUGUUUGGGUCCCAGGCUCAUUAACUCAGCUACAGAUAAGCAAGACUGCAAGAUCUUUGUAUCAUUAGAGGUUCCAGUCAAGCUUGCCUACCAUUAUUAGAAUUCCAAACACAGCAGAACUAUUUUGGAGCCUUAACAAUAAUUUAUCCUGAAGAUGUAUCUUUAUUUAAUGAUUCAGAGUUGUUAUUAUGGGCCUGGCAGUCAGCUGCUCAGUUUCUGGAGUAUUACCAUUUAACCUAGGUCAGGAUAAAAAUCCUGGAAUAUUCAUUGCAGGGCAGACCUGAGGGUCUGUUCUUUAGAGUCCUCUGGGGUGUGACUGUCCCAAAUGGUGUCACUGCUGUGAGAGGUGACCCCAGCAGUCUGCAAAACCUGGAGAUCCCUUCUAAAAAGGGGGACCCUGCAAUCUGUGCCUGUGGGUACUAAAUCAACUUUUGACAUGUAAAGAACAAUGCAAUCCCAGGGUUUUAGGAGUAGAUGCUUGCUGCCAAACCACAAGAAAUGCUUUUGUCUGGAACUCAUGGAGCAGUAACAUAGCAGUGGAGGGUGUACCCUUGUCUGUUAUUCCCUCUGAGCAAUUUCUCAGAGACUUGUUACCAGGAUUCAGAUAGAUUUCAUGGAACUAGGAGAGAAAUAGGCUUUAAUUUCCUUACAAAAGGAGGGAGAGACAAUAGAACUCAGCAAAACGUGGCAUUUUUUUUAUUUCUGUCUGACAGUUAUGCAAGCAAAACCCAGUGCCCAUCUUCAGGCAGUACUCUCUAAAGUACUGAGACUCAUGUGAGAAAAUUUGUCUUAUCUUUCUUCUGGUGUGAGUUGAUAAAACUGCUUCAUUUCCUCUGCAUAUGUACAUCAAGGAUAUCCCCUUGCUAUGUUGCUAGAGUGAAAAAACCAACACUUCUUAUACAAUUGUUUAUUUCUUCUUUAGCCAUUCAGUGGCCUUUUCCUGGUUCAGUAUAUCUUUUUGAGCAUGGGUGGUCAAACCUGAACAAGCCAGUUCCAUCACAGAGAUGAUUCCAGCACGAGAUCUUUGCUGCACCAAGUAUUCCACAACUGGAGAAUUCUGGAGAAGUGAUAAGAGGAAAUGCAAGUGACCUCCAGAGCAAGAGUUCCUGUGACUUUGACUGCUCCUUAUCAAAUGUCCAUGCUGACUCUUUGUCCAGACAGGUCAGGUGUCCAGAGCAGUGAUGUCCUAACUGCUUUUGUGGGAGGGCUGCUGUUCUCUCUGCUCCUAGACUGUUCCUACUCCCAAGCACACAGCUUGCCAGCUGAGUUGUGCCUGAUUGCCACGUGCUCCCAGGUUCCUUUACACCUGCCUGGCACUUCCUUGCAGAAAUAGGACAGAGCACAGAAGAGCCCCUCAUGAAGCACCUGGCCUCAGGCACAGAGACACAGCUGUCCCCUCAGUCUGAGUAACACCAGCAUGUGGCACCUCCUGGGGCUCUGCAGGCUCUGAGAGCUCAGAAAGGCAGAGUCAGAGACCCCACGGGUGCUCCUUGGCAUUCCCACACCUCUCUCCUUGCUGGGUGUCCCUGAUGGCCUUUGUAAAUCAUUCAUGAAAGAUACUUCUGAAUAAAUACUUUCUCUGUUAUCUUCUCCAGUACAAAGGAUUAAUUUUGUAUGAGUCUAUGCCUGUACUGCUCUUCAGCAAUGACAGAAAUUCAUUUCUUGGCCAGAUUUUAUGAAUGAUGUUCCAUAUUUAUUGUGUAUUAUGACCUUUUUGGAUGAUACAAAGUCGAGUCUAGACAUCUGCCUUUGGUUCUAACACCAUUUCUCUUCUCUGAUGAACAGUGUAUUGCAGUCUAUAGAUACCUGUAAUUUACAACUUUUUUUCAGUUUAAAGUAAGAUCAUGAUUAACAUUUUAUAUGAAGCAAGGUGGUGAACAGGAGAGUUCAUUGACUUUUAAACCCUGGAAUCACCCAAACGGUUUUACAUUCCAAGUAAAAUAUUUGGUAGGCUUCACACCAGUCUUUUACCAAUGAAUAUCACAAUAUUGCUGUUGGGAAAAACUGCAUUUAUUAAGGCAGUAUAUUUUAAAAACUGGCCCCAGCACCACACAGCUGGAAACAAGGAAAAAGUAAUCUAUGGCAGCAUGUAAAAAAACUGUUCUCUAGUUAGACUGUGUAUUUUUAAUAACUGCCUCCAACAGACCACCCUAUGACACUGAUUGCAAGCACAGAAAGCCUGAUUAUUCAAAAGCCAUGUAAAUGAGACAGAUGUUGAUAUUGCAAACUCCCACUAUUCACCUCCAACCUAUUUUUUCAUCUUUUUCUGCUUGUUUCACUUGUUUCUUUCCUGGUGUCCUUUCUCUCACUGGUGUUUUCCUUCAGUACCACUCUAUUUGCCUCCCAGAACCAACUGCAGCUUUUAGCUUUAAUGGCAGAACAGAAAUUGUUUAGAGAUCUUUUAAUCCUUCACCUUAUAUGCCACUUGCACAAGGACAGGCUACUCACUGCUCAGAGAUGAACUAUGAAAAUAGCAAAAAUAGUAGAUUAAUUAAGCUGGAUCACCAAAAAACCCCAAGAAUCUCCUACUUCUGUUGAUUGGCACUAAAAUACAUUAAGUACUCCUGGUUUAUAACAUAAUUUCUCUAAAGGAUGUUUACUAAAAGAUGGUGUCAAUGUGGUGUCAUUCCUUUGGCUACUUGGGUCCAAGUUUUUGUAAAUGUCUCUUGUUGUAGGCUGAAAUGUAUUACAACUUUAUCACUAUUUUCCUUA